CGAGGCGCACGAGGCGCGCUCGCGCUCCUGAGGAGCUCCACCACACAACAACUUGUUGCUGAUGCUGGCAGCAGCUCCGCUCGGAGCGGACCCAGCUCACAGCCACCAACAAACACGCAGCGGGAUCAGGGACAGAGGUGAGACCAUGACAGGAGCGUGGGUUUGGUUCUCGGCGGUGUUUUGGCUCAGCGCCGCAGCUGGACGCACUCUUCUCAUCAACGACUCCUCUCUCCUCCUGGACGAGGACGCGCUGCUCCCCCACACGGAGACUUUGCUCAACCUGUCGGGACGGUCCGGGAACAGAACCUCCUCCUCUUCGGGCUUCUUCCUCCUGGACUUGGACGAGGGUCUGCUGGAGGGCUGGCGCACCCUGGCCGACAGGACGAGCAGCGGGAAGGAGGCGCAGGACGGCGGGGUGAAGGCGCUGCUCGUGGCCGCCUACUCCCUCAUCAUCGUGGUGUCUCUGUUCGGGAACACGCUGGUGUGCCAUGUGGUGGUGAAAAACAAACGCACUCAGUCCUCCACCAGCCUGUUCAUCCUCAACCUGGCGGUGGCUGACAUCUUCAUCACGGUCCUCAACACCCCUUUCACCCUGGUCCGCUUCGUAAACAGCACCUGGGUGUUUGGGAGGACCAUGUGUCACAUCAGCCGCUUCGUGCAGUACUGCUCCCUGCACGUCUCCACUCUCACCCUCACCGCCAUCGCUUUGGACCGACGACAGGUGAUUUUACAUCCUCUCCGACCACGCAUGACUCCAACACAAGGGGGUGUUUGGGUCGCUGUUAUCUGGAUAAUGGCCAGCUGCUUCUCCCUCCCACAUGCAAUCUACCAAAAACUCCUGACUUUCACCUACAGUAAAGAAAAGGAGCGGAGCCUCUGUGUCCCAGACUUCCCUGAGCCAUCAGAUGUCUACUGGCAGUACAUCGAUCUCCUGACCUUCAUCCUGCUGUAUGUGCUGCCGCUCAUCAUCAUCACUGCCUCCUACAUCACGGUGGCCCGCCGGCUGUGGUGUCACAACGCCAUCGGCGACACGACAACAGCCCAGCACGCCACCCAGAGGAGGAAACGACGCCGAACGCUGGCCAUGCUGUUCCUGGUCGUGGGCGUGUUCGCCGUCUGCUGGUUCCCCCUCAACUGCUACGUGGUGCUGCUCUCCAGCCAGGCGAUCCACUCCUCCAACGCUCUGUACUUCUGCUUCCACUGGCUGGCCAUGAGCUCCACCUGCUACAACCCGUUCAUCUACUGCUGCCUGAACCCGACCUUCCGUCAGGAGCUGCGGCUCCUGUUCGACAGGUGCCGCUGGAGGCGGAGGGUGGCGGUCGGCUCGGAGCCGGAGCACCGCCCCGCCGUCGCCUCCUGCGCUCCCUGCCGCCGAGCCGCCUGGCCCGACAACCAUGAAUCCCUGAGGCCGAGCCACGCUCUGUCGCACCUGGGCCAGGGUUCCCUGCAGCCGAGCCARGCCUCGUCCAGCCACUCCCAUAACCUGAAGGAAGCACACGUGCUCUUCACGGCCAGGCAGGCCCUUACAGGGAGAACAGACAUCCUCUCAGUGGAGCCCAUCGUGGCUGAGAGAUAACUACACAUGGUCGCCUCAGUUCCCACUGGAAAUUAAAAGACCAUGAUCUGAAAAUGCGUGGCUGGACCGUUGUGGGAUUUUGACGGUUGCAGUUUUCACUUCUGAUGUCUUUUGUGAUGCGUAACAAAUCCUGCAAACCUUCUGUGCUUUGAGUGAUGGAAAAAUUAUUCUCUCCUCGAGGUCCGCUCAGCAGGACCUCCAGUUAAAGGRUUGUGAUUGUUUCUGACAUUUUGUUUAAAUUUUCUUUUUGUUUCCUGUGCACCAAAAGUAUCUUCAAUGCAAAAUAGGAUUCUGAAACUAAUUUUUCAUUAUCCUAUUUAAAAAAAUCUGCAUGAAAGUACAAAGGAGUAGAUGAUACAAUGAAUGAUGAGCUAUGGAUAUCCCCUUGUAAAUAGCUCUUUUUCCCCCAACAGGGUUCACAGAAAAUGCACAGAUAGAAGACUAUCAAGAAUUUUCAUUACACAAGAAAAAAAAAAUCUACCAGGAUCCAUUCACAGCUUUUGUCUCCUCACAGCUUUUAUGAUUCAUUCUACAAAAAAAUAAAUAAAAUAAAAUAAAUUCUCAGAAAAUGAACCAUUGAGGAUGACAUUCAAAUUUUUCCACUUCAUUUAUUUCAUCCCUUUAUUUCAUCCCUUUAAGGCCAUACCACUGCCUUUUCUGCUGCUGUUUCUUUAACCUGGAGGCUUUGAGAGUAUGUUUCAGAGGAAUGACAGCAAUUGAGGCUAUAUUUUGAAAAAUCUAUUUCAGUUCACAAUCAUCUCUUUCACCGUGGAGGCUCUUAAGGAAUUUUUUUGAACCUUUGUUGGGAUUUUCUUGUUGGGAUUUUCUUGUGUCAGAUGAGAAUCGACAAUCGCGACAAAACCUUUGGAGGAAACRUGGUCUCUCACUUACACUGUGACCUCUUGGGAUUUUUACAGACUGAAUGUAUUUGUCACCAAAUUGCUUUUGUUGCUGGGUCUGGUACAAAGAGACAAUUAAUUCUAGAUGUAGUUGACCAGUUUUUACCCCUCGAUGUGGACUAAACGUUGAGGCCUUCGUCACCAUUUUGUUGGUUUGAAUUGUGGACUUGGUGAACUUACAAAAUGCGUCAUAAUGAUCCCCUGCCUUCAUGAAAGGCAGGGGAUUAUUUAAUUACCUGUGUUUGUGUUCGUGUGUCUGUCUAAUGAAACACUGAAUCAUGUAAUUGUUAGCUGUCUAACUGGUGGGUCAUUGGUUAGCACUGAUGUCUCACAGCAGGAAGAUGCUGAGUUUGAUCCCCAGUUCAGACCUGAUGUCUUUCUGUGUGGAGUUUGCAUCUUUUCCUCAUGCUUACAUAMGUUUUCUCCUGGUGCUCUGUUUCCUCCCACGAACAAAAGCAUGCAUGUUGGGUUACCUUCAAGCUCUGGCCUUCCUCACAAAAGAGACCUGUGAUCUCAAUGCAAUUUGCCUGGUGAAAUAAAAAACUGAUUACCUUUUGGCGACAAUCUAAAACCAAGAUGUUUACCACUGUUAACCAACCUUAGACAGCACAAAAAUGUCAAACAUACUGCAGAAAAAGCAGUAUUAUCUGACAACAGGGUAGAUUAAACUCGAGUAUUUAGUGUUAAUAACGGAAGAUGUGAUCACUGCUGGAGGCAGUGGCGACAAAGGGAAACAAUGGUGGAGAAAUCUAAAAUAAUAGAAGACAAUGAAACACAAUGACAAGAUGUAAUGAAACAAAUCAKUGGAUAUAAAGAAUGAAACACAAGAAACAGAAAAAACAAACGUUUACAAGGUUAAAACGUAUUGUAAUUUGGUUUUAAAUGCAGCAGAUUUAUUGUAGCAAUGCUGAAUAAGACAUGACACUUCAAGCAUCAYCAUGAAAAAUGAUGAUAAAACACUGAAAAACAUCCGAUUGUGUUGAAUGUUAUCGCUGGGAAACAUCUUAAAAAAGGCUAAAGCGGUAAAAUGUCAAAAACCAUAUAUAUGUAUAUAUAUAAAUGUACAUUAAUAAUAAAUGUUAGAUUUUUCAU